rnacentral:rRNA from 1 species
AUGAUUAAUAGGGACAGUCGGGGGCAUCAGUAUUCAAUUGUCAGAGGUGAAAUUCUUGGAUUUAUUGAAGACUAACUACUGCGAAAGCAUUUGCCAAGGAUGUUUUCAUUAAUCAGGAACGAAAGUUAGGGGAUCGAAGACGAUCAGAUACCGUCGUAGUCUUAACCAUAAACUAUGCCGACUAGGGAUCGGACGAUGUUAUUUUUUGACGCGUUCGGCACCUUACGAGAAAUCAAAGUGCUUGGGCUCCAGGGGGAGUAUGGUCGCAAGGCUGAAACUUAAAGAAAUCGACGGAAGGGCACCACCAGGGGUGGAGCCUGCGGCUUAAUUUGACUCAACACGGGGAAACUCACCAGGUCCAGACACAAUGAGGAUUGACAGAUUGAGAGCUCUUUCUUGAUUUUGUGGGUGGUGGUGCAUGGCCGUUCUUAGUUGGUGGAGUGAUUUGUCUGCUUAAUUGCGAUAACGAACGAGACCUUAACCUGCUAAAUAGCCCGUAUUGCUUUGGCAGUACGCCGGCUUCUUAGAGGGACUAUCGGCCCAAGCCGAUGGAAGUUUGAGGCAAUAACAGGUCUGUGAUGCCCUUAGAUGUUCUGGGCCGCACGCGCGCUACACUGACGGAGCCAGCGAGUACUUCCUUGGCCGAAAGGCCCGGGUAAUCUUGUUAAACUCCGUCGUGCUGGGGAUAGAGCAUUGCAA